AUGUCUGAGGCAGAUGUUCGUGGCACGGCAGUAGAGGUAGAACUUUCCCACUGACAUCCCAUCAUACUUUCCUGCUGUGACGCAGAAUGGUGUCUGACAUGGAAACGCAUAUGAAACAAAGUCCAUUUGGGUCCAGAUUCUUUUUGCGAGGAGAGGCAAAAACAUAUUUCCUAAAAAGCCAAGGACUCUGUAAUCUAAGAAGAUUUUCAGAGGAGACAGAUAUCCUGAAUAUCUGCAUAUUUGCAGCUGAAAGAACAAGGGAGUACUUAAGGAGAAGAAGGCAAGGAAAACAGACCUUCAUCUAAAUCUGACUGAAUCUUUCAACUUUGAGAAGUUUGUGUUGAAUUUGGCUGGGGACUGCUUCCCAGGAUCAUCACCAAGAAAUACAAUAUUGUCAGUAUUAACAACCAAAGUACCAGUCUCGUGACACCUAACUAAGUUUUUGUCCCUGUCCCUUUGUCAAAAUUUUGACUUUCAAGAAGCAAUAAAAUGAACUUGUAGACUUUGGGACUGACAGGUGAGAACAUGCUCUUCAAAGGCAAGUGGAGCGGUGAGACCUAAAGGGACUCAACUGUGGAAAAAUAAAUAAAUAAGUAAAUUAAUACAUUACUCUGAUUGUAGCUGGCACUUCUGUGGUUCUAUUCUGCUCACGUUUCUGGGUGAGUAAUCUUCAUUUCCUGCUUAUGUGUUGCCAAAUGAAAUAAAUGUUAACCUUCAAGAUAAAACAAGAACCCACAUACUGGACUUUGUACCUCUGACAGAUACUUCUGAUAUGGAAAUAUCUGUCCCAGAGGGGCAGCAGCUCUAUCAGUAUCAAAAAUGGUGAGGUUCAGUGUCUAGCCUGCUGAGGAGUGCAGCUCAUGGAGAGUUCCUCUGGAGUUUCCUGGUGCACUUGGAAAUCAUACCAUAACACCAUACACCAGUAUGGUUAAGAUGCGGAAUGACUCAUUUGUUGUUUAGAUCAGUGUAUUUUUAUACAUGCUAGUAUUAGCAGUGCUUGUAAUUGUGUUUCCAUGGUUACAUUCACAAAAAGUUUUGGUUCCAGAUGCCAUUCUGGAACGGACAUUAUUAUGUUCCUGCCCUUGUUACCAACUCCCUCAACUUGGCUUAAUCAGAGGUACCAUCCCUGAGCCCACGCGCUGUUUUGCUCGCUGUUUUGUUGAUGGUGUCCUGACUCUAGCAUUUUUUCUAACAGUGCUCCUUUAAUCUGCCAGACCAAGGCUUCGUUCCAACUUCAUUCGCAAGCGCUGCACAACAGGAAAGAUGCAGUGAUAUACUUAGUAUUGGUUACAGGGAUUGCAGGACUUUGACUGAGAAACACUGAUGACAGCUAUAAGACCUGAGUUUUUUCUGUUUCCAGAACAGCUGCUGAGCAAAGAAGUGAUGGACUGUGGAGAUAUGUGGGGACCUCAGCUCUCCUGAGCAAACUUUGCUAGCAAACAGGAACUGACUUCAGAAGAAAAGUUGUCUAGAGUUUCAAGUCAGAAGACGCCAUUUAACAACAGUCACUGCUUCCAGUGAGAGCUCCUCACUGAAGCCAGCUGAAAUUUCAAUCUGUUCUUCAGUGUAUUUUUCCGUAGUUUUAUUUCUCUUCUUUACUUGGACAUAAAUGAUGGGGAAAUUCCUGUCCCAGUGGGCAAAGGAGAAUUUUUGCACUUUCUCUUUUAGCAAAACAGAGUGCUUCAUGCAAAAUACUACUGAAAUUUCUGUAAACGUUUGCUUGCUUAGAAUUAAGUAUGUGCUAAAAACUGUAAGACACCAAUGCAAUAGUUUUCUCCUCCUUGAUUUUCUUGAUUUUCUUUUCAGAUAUUUACUUGUGUCCAUCUUCUCUGCUUUGACUAUUCCCACUUGUAGAUGUGUACAUUUGCUGUUCAUUCUAGGUUUUACUAAUAGGAUGUUUCCAAAGAUGUUGAUCCCUAUAAUGCAAGACAUACAGAAAGUUUAAGGCAUAGCUCCUACUUCAGACAGCAAACAGACCUUAUACCAGAGACCAUCGAGUGGAUAGGCUAGGUGAGGAUGGGAAAAUGAAGUAAUGUGUGGCUUGGCAGGAAAAGUCACAGCUCUUCUGCAGGCAGCAAUGGAGACAGUGAGUAGCUGUGUAGAAAUAGUGCAGAAGGAUCUGCAGAUGCUGCAUUUUGUAUGGUCUGCUUCCACCUCUGGGCAAGGUGCUACAACACUGCUGUGUUCACCAGGCCGUACUGCUCCCACGCGCUGGAGCAUUUAAUAAAUGGCUCUGACUGCAGCUGUCACUGAAGGCAAUCUUUCCACUCCUAUGACCACUAGCUCUCAGUAGACAAUUACUGUACUCAGUGAGUUAAAAAUAAAUACAAUGCAGUCUGAGGACACCUUCUGUUUCACACAAGUAAUAGGUAUUGAAUCGAUGGCAGUCAUGCAGAUGAAUUUUCAAUGCAAACCAGUUCUAACUGGUAUUUAAAGGUCAAUAUUUCUGUGCAAAUAUUUGUUUAAAAGUUUAUGUGUAAUGUCCGGUACUGAACACGUCUUUUUGGCUUUCUGUCAGCUUUGCUGACAAUGCAGAGAGGUGAGAUGGUGUUCAGGCCUCAGCUGGACAGGCACUGUAAUUUCAGCUGCCAGCCCAACUGUGUGAGCAGCAGUCUUUCCUUGUUUCCCAUGCUGGUGCUGGGUGAUGGGCAGCAGGCUGUCAGCUCCUCAUUUGUGCUGAUGAGAGCAAGGAUAAGGGCCAUGUGCAACAGUAGGCUGGCUGUCCAGACUGGUACAACCCAGACGCAGAUACAAAUGUUGCUUGCUUCCCAAGAUGGCUGAAUUGCAUCUUGGUGAAGAAUUCAGGCUGAGGCUGGGUUUUCAGGCUCAUUUUAUCUCCAGGGCCUGUGCUUUCCUUUUUUUUUCAUCUGCUCCUGUGUUUUUGGUUUGCCAUUUGAUGAGCUUUUUUUUUUUACUGGGACUAUCUUCCUUUUUCACAUAGACCUCCACUACAGACUCCCAGCUCAUUUGAGGUUCCAAUAAUAUUUUUGGGUGAUAGCAGGAUGGAGUCCUAAUCUCUGAGCAAACAGUUUCUUUUCAGCUUGUGCACCUGUAGGACCAAACUUUUAGUGGACUGAGGAUUUAUGAAUAUUACUAGAAACUGAGUAUUUCACAGUGAAUGCUAACUCAUCCUCACGAAUCAUCUGCAAUUUUUAUUUUAAUAUGGUGGCCAAGCUGAAGUUUAUUUUCAUUUAAAGUGACAGAAUAUUCACCAAAUAAAAAUUUCCACCUUGUUAUACCUGAGGUCCUUAAAAAGCUUGUUUAUCUAACUUUGAUUUGUUCAAGAUUCAGGUGAAUUAAAAAAGUGAUCUAAAAUGUAAAUGGAUUUUUUUUUAAAGCCAUGAAUACCUGACAGGAAAAAAAAAAAAAGUCUUUCUCAAAGACUAGAUUUGCAUUUGAGCAAAUGAUUUGUUUCACUGAAAUCUUUUCCUUUUUUAGCAAAAAUUUUUCAGUUAGUUCUUUUUGUUUCACUCUGCUCUUCAGCUGGGGCUUAAAAAAACGUUCACAAGCUCCUUCUGGGAACAGCUGCUAAAACCCUGCCUGACAAAUUUGGCUUCUUCAGCUAUAUUCUAGUUUCUAUAUAUUCAGGGAGGAUGAUGUCAUGCUGAAAGCUCUCUCUCAGCAGUGGAAAAAGUUAUGUACAUGUAACCAACCAACCCAAACCUAUGCCUCUGUCCCACAGGAUUUGCAGUCCUCAGGAGAUGAAGACACGGAACAUGAUAGAGGGAGGCCAGAGAAAAUUCCAGUGGCUAAGGCUGUUUGCAGAAAAUGUAGAGACUUGCAGGACACAGCCAGGAUAUCCACACAGGCCUUAUCUCCCUCCUCCUGUAGUCAAAUCCCAGACCUAUGAUUCUGUGAUUCUAUAAACACUGCUUUCGUAUCUAGCAACCAGGAACUGUUGGUGUCAUUAAAAUUUGUGAACCAUUGUGCUUGUUGGCACAGAGUGCUGCAGAACUCUACUGGUAGAACAGGUUUACUUGCCUCUUGACUGCUCUGCGAGGAAGCAGUCCCAGGAGAGUUCUGCUUGUUGAGAUUCUGAGAUGUAAGGGAGAUAAUGCUGUAGGUCAUGCAGAAGCUAUCACCAGCUCUACUGCCACUGCUGGGUCCGGGAAAGGAGCUCCUUUAGGAAAUGAUCUAUGCUCCUGCAGUGCACAUCCCACAGGAGUUUUACAGCCUUGCAGCAAUGUCAGAAGCUAAGCGUUGUCCCCCUAGUGCUGGUAAUGAUGCACACUGCUGCAUCAUUAACACCAUACCAAUGUGUAUUCAAAUAGUCUAAUAGUCUAAUGGGAAGUCUGGAAGUCCCUUGCACCAUGGGAUGAGACAGGGAAUAAGUCAGCUAAGGAUUUUAAGUAUUAGGAUCUUUGUGCAUGUCAGAUUCUCUAAGAAAUUUACUUACUGAUAAUUAACCCAGAUACUAUGUGCUACAGAAUACUGUAAUGUAGAACGCUUCUACAUGGAUUGCAGUCUGUGAUUCAGAAAAGGAACUGAAGAAGAAACAUCCAUUUACCCUCAGAAGUCCAUUCUUAUCUGUGCAUUGUACUCGUGUUCUGCUGAAAGGGUUCCACUAAAUGCAGCUUAGAAACCACUGUCUAUGCAAUGUGAGUUUGUUUACAAAUUUUCCUUGUGGUAGUGAACAUUCAGUUCCUACUAAGAAGAAACUGGUCAAAACUGGACAUCUUUGAUACCCGAGUAUUUAAAAAUUCUCAGAAAAAGAAAAAAAAAUAAAAACAGCAAUUUUU